rnacentral:rRNA from 1 species
UACGUAGGGUGCGAGCGUUGUCCGGAAUUAUUGGGCGUAAAGGGCUCGUAGGCGGUUUGUCGCGUCGGGAGUGAAAUCAUCUGGCUUUAACUGGGUGCUUGCUUUCGAUACGGGCAGACUAGAGGUAUGCAGGGGGAGAACGAAUUCCUGGGUGUAGCGGUGAAAUGCGCAGAUAUCAGGAGGAACACCGGUGGCGAAGGCGGUUCUCUGGGCAUGAUCUGACGCUGAGGAGCGAAAGUGUGGGGAGCGAACAGG